rnacentral:rRNA from 1 species
GACGAACGCUGGCGGCGUGCUUAACACAUGCAAGUCGAGCGGUAAGGCCCUUUCGGGGGUACACGAGCGGCGAACGGGUGAGUAACACGUGGGUGACCUGCCCUCAGCUCUGGGAUAAGCCUGGGAAACCGGGUCUAAUACUGGAUAUGACUCCAUGACGCAUGUUGUGGGGUGGAAAGCCUUGUGCGGCUGAGGAUGGGCCCGCGGCCUAUCAGCUUGUUGGUGGGGNGAUGGCCUACCAAGGCGACGACGGGUAGCCGGCCUGAGAGGGCGACCGGCCACACUGGGACUGAGACACGGCCCAGACUCCUACGGGAGGCAGCAGUGGGGAAUCUUGCGCAAUGCGCGAAAGCGUGACGCAGCAACGCCGCGUGGGGGAAGACGGCCUCGG